ACACACACACACACACACACAUAUAAUAAUAGUAACAUAGUAAAUUAAUAUAUAAUAAUAAAUGACUAUAAUAAAUUAAUUAUAUAUAUAUAUGUGUGUGUGUGUGUGUGUGU